UCAAGCGAACAAGGGCGCAGGGCGAAUGCCUUGGCACUGGGAGCCGAUGAAAGACGUGAUAAGCUGCGAUAAGCUUCGGGGAGCUGCAAAUAAGCAUUGAUCCGGAGAUUUCUGAAUGAGGAAACUCACCUGGGUUCAUACUCAGGUACAAUGCACUGAAAUUCAAAAUAGGUGUAUUGAGGGAACCGCCUGAACUGAAACAUCUAAGUAGGGCGAGGAAGAGACAUCAAACGAGAUUCCGUAAGUAGUGGCGAGCGAACGCGGAAGAGGGCAAACCGAGAGUAGAAAUACUUUCGGGGUACGGACUGCUUUUAAGACUCAAUCUGUUAACCGAACGGCAUGGGAAGGCCGGUCAGAGAGUGUGAGAACCACGUAGGUGAAAACGGAGAGAGCUGCGCAGGAUCCAGAGUACGGCCAGACACGUGAAACCUGGUCGGAAUACGGGGGGACCACCCUCCAACCCUAAAUACUACCCAGUGACCGAUAGCGUAUAGUACUGUGAAGGAAAGGUGAAAAGCACCCCGGGAGGGGAGUGAAAAAGAACCUGAAACCCUGUGCCUACAAGCACCUAGAGCGCGUCAAAGCGUGAUAGGGUACUUUUUGUAGAACGGUCCGGCGAGCGAUUGUAUGCAGCAAGGUUAAGGACUUAAGGUCUGGAGCCGAAGCGAAAGCGAGUUUGAAAAGGGCGUUAAGUUGCAUAUAAUGGGCCCGAAACCGGGUGACCUACCCAUGGUCAGGUUGAAGUGGAAGUAAAAUUCCAUGGAGGACCGAACCGACCUCCGUUGAAAAGGCGGCGGAUGAACUGUGGGUAGCGGAGAAAUUCCAAUCGAACCCGGAGAUAGCUGGUUCUCCCCGAAAUAGUUUUAGGACUAGCCUCAAGUUAGAUACCUGGAGGUAAAGCACUGAAUAGCCUAGCGGCCGAGAGGUUAGCGAAGCUUAUCAAACUCAGAAUGCCAGAGUAUUGAUGCUUGGGAGUCAGACAGUGUCAGAUAAAUGUCAUUGUCAAAAGGGAAACAGCCCAGAUCUACAGCUAAGGUCCCAAAGUCAGGUUAAGUGGAAAACGAUGUGAAGAUACGCAGACAACCAGGAUGUUGGCUCAGAAGCAGCCACUCAUUCAAAGAGUGCGUAAUAGCUCACUGGUCGAGCGUCUUUGCGCGGAGAAUUUAACGGGGCUAAACCUGACACCGAAGCUUAGGCAAUACAGCAAUGUAUUGGGUAGGGGAGCGUUGUAUACGCGGAGAAACAGUAGCGCAAGCGGCUGUGGAGUGUAUAGAAGUGAGAAUGCCGGAAUGAGUAGCGCGAAUGCAGUGAGAAUCUGCAUGGCCGAAAGCCUCAGGUUUCUGGAGGAAGGUUCGUCCGCUCCAGGUUAGUCGGGAGCUAAGGUGAGGCCGAAAGGCGUAGCCGAUGCACAGACGGUAGAGAUUCCGUCACCACCAAAAGAGUUAAGCACAGGGACACAUAUGAAGUCUCAGAGCCGGGUGUUGGUUCCGGUAGAGAUCGAGGGAAAUUAGUACCGAAGUCUGAGAUGGAAGAUGGCGAGAAAAGCUGUGUGUAUUUCUGAGGUGCCCGUACCGCAAACCGACACAGGUAGGUAGGAAGAAGAUUCUAAGGCCAACGGGAGAAGGGUUGUUAAGGAACUCGGCAAAUUGACCCCGUAACUUCGGGAGAAGGGGUGCUCCAGAGAUGGAGCCGCAGAGAAUCGGCCCAAGCAACUGUUUACCAAAAACACAGGUUUGUGCUAAAUCGAAAGAUGACGUAUACGAGCUGACGCCUGCCCGGUGCUGGAAGGUUAAGAGGAGAUGUGCAAGCAUUGAAUCGAAGCCCCAGUGAACGGCGGCCGUAACUAUAACGGUCCUAAGGUAGCGAAAUUCCUUGUCAGGUAAG
rnacentral:rRNA from 1 species